UGCUCCUUGGCCCAGUUGGUUAAGGCGCACGACUGUUAAUUGCAGACGAAAUCGUGAGAUCGUCAGUUCAAACCUGACAGGAGCAG